rnacentral:rRNA from 1 species
UUACACAGCUACAUCACCUCAGGCUGCAAUUUUUGUCACAAUUCACAAGUUAAGUAGGGUUGAGUCUGGUCAGUAAAUGGAUGGGUAACUCCCCCCUAACCCAAGGGUUGUGUGUG